rnacentral:rRNA from 1 species
GACUCUCGGCAACGGAUAUCUCAGCUCUCGCAUCGAUGAAGAACGUAGCGAAAUGCGAUACUUGGUGUGAAUUGCAGAAUCCCGUGAACCAUCGAGUCUUUGAACGCAAGUUGCGCCCGAGGCCUCCUGGUCGAGGGCACGUCUGCCUGGGUGUCA